rnacentral:misc_RNA from 1 species
AUAUUGUCAACAUGUUCUGAAAGUGUGUAAUAAUAAUGACAAAUUAGUAUAUAAAUAAUAUUAUACACAAAAAAUAUGUUAGACAAUAAAGUGAGAGAGAUUCGUAUUCAUUAUUAUUAUAUUACAUUCAGUAAAAUAACUGAAUUUUGCCUACUUUAUUUCUACUCAUAAAGUCGAAUAACUUAUUUUAUAAUAUAUACUUUCGGUAGUAAAAAUAAAUUCAAUACUAUUUUACGACUUUAAAAUAACUUAUCGGAUAUCGGAGUAUAACUCGAAAAAAAUUUUUUUUCAAUAACUCAAGCAUUAUGACCUAAAACAAAAAUAAAAAUAUAUCUAGUGUAAAAUGUUACAAUGCUAAUAAUAUUAGUUUUUAAUGCAAUAAUUUUUUUUCCGUUUGUAUCUGCGCAUAGUGAAACUAUAAAGAACGAGGAAGAAUGCAAGAUAGCUGACUUGUGUGUACACGAUAAGGUCCCGAUGUGUGGUAUUGAUUCGUGCGGCGAAAUGAGGACUUUUAUAGACACGUGUGACAUGCACGAGUUCAACUGCGACAGUAAAAAAGAUUUCAAACAAAGGCCUAUCCAUGAGUGCUGGGUCACCUGCAAAAGAGGACGCUCAUUCAAGAAACCCGAGUUUAGAACGGAUUGCAACUUGAACAUUAAAAAUAGAGUAUAAUUAAUUACAACAGUGUUCCUUUAUUUGUUUUACUUAACGUUGUCUUACAAUGCCUUCUGUUCGUUAGCUCUAUAGUAACUUUCAUAAUUUACUUCACCUUAAAAGAAAUAAAACCUUUGUUAGUCAGUAGGCUUAUUACUGAUUAUCACAAUAGUGCUUUAUUUAUUGGUUUUCACAAUACGGUUUCUAUAUUGCACAAUUAAACGUAAUAUUUGACUAGUACUUUAUGCCAGAAAAAGCAAUAAUUUACAAAUGAGUACAAUGAGUAAUUUUUUAUAUAUUUUUU